rnacentral:lncRNA from 1 species
AAAAGUCGCUCCUCCAAACACAUGGCAAAAAUUCUCGUUAGGGUUAGAUGCUCCCCGAGGGCUUCGCCAGCCCUCCUUUCUCCUCACUCAUUUACACCACUGCACUGAUGCAUGCUGGAAUUGAUAACACAGACACCUUCUCUUAUCUUGUCUUACCGUAGUCUUUUGAGUAGGAGUCCUUUGUUAUCGACCUGGCAAGGAGCAAAGGGAUGUCACAGACUCAAAUGGAUUUUUAAGAUGCUUUCACCAAAUGUUCGACAGCUGCUGGCCUGAUGAAUUUGAUCGAUGAUGUGUUGAAACCAGUACAAGGUUGUUGCUGAGGGGACGGGUGUUGCUGCUGUGGUGACAGUAAGAAGCAAUGCAUUGCGCCGAUAGAUGGCCGAGAGAAACAGGAAGCAGUGGCCAACUCCUGCAGACACUAGGAACGCUUCAUGGUCCAGUGAUGAAUUGCAAAUAGAGGAUCAGAGUCUGGCACAUGAAAGUGAUUGAGAGGAGGGAAGGAGGGGGAAAGAGACAAAGAGAGCGAGAGAGAGAUUCCCUUUAUGCUCACUGUGUCAGGCCUCAGUCUUUGACUUCGGUCGGGACUAAUGAUCGUUCUGAUAUGGGCAAGUAAUUGGUGUCUAGGGAUGUUAGACUACAAUGUCUUUUACAUAACGUAAUAGGCAACCCAGUAUAGGCUGCAAUAUUUAGUCAGGAAGGCGAUUAAAACUAAGGGAGUGACAUUCGGGUGAUGCACUGCCCAAUUGGCAGGACUGGGC